CUUCAUAGCCGUCCCUUCUUGUCCCCGUCAUCCCCAGUUUCCUUCCUCCCUUCUCUCCCCUUAUCUCUGGAACCCCACUGAUGCGCAAGCAAGAGCCACCGCCAAGGCUUGUGCAAGCUCACGCCAUAUCCAGCAACAACCAUGCUUUCUCUGCAAGCACAAAUCCAGCCAUGGUGUGUUUGACGGCAAUUAGCUGACGGCGGUGAGAAGUUGCAGCAGCGGCGAGCGUUCUCGCGCGACUCUCUCGUAUGGGGGGUAGCAGCAAUGGGGCGGCUGCAAAAGCAAGGCUGGUCGCCGGCGGGAGCGCCAGCCACGCGGGGUUGCUCGCCGGAAGCAUCCGAUGCAAGGCCGCUCACCGGAAGCAUCUGAUGCUAUUGACGGCGACCGGCAGGCGGGGUGACGGCGGAUGCUGGUGUUGCGAGGAUGACGAAUACCCUAGCCAGGUCGUUUGCAUCAGCUUUUCAUCUCAAAGAUGUAUCUCCUGUUGAUCCAUUUCAAAUCAGUUUUCUGUACACAAUAAUGGGCUAGCUCUGUUCGAUGCCAUCGAGGACCUAACAGAAGUAGGGAGUACGAUCAGCGGAAGUUUUUGCCUCCUCUCUUGAUUGACUAGGCCGGCUCCCAUCAUGUCUCAGCUGGAUUCCACGGGCUGUGGCCCAGGUGGGCGACGGGUGACCCAACGCCUACCAAAGAGAAAAGAAGGGGAAAACGGACGGACGAACCAAGCGAUUUUUUAGUGAGGUGUAUAUAUCUAAAUUCAAAGUGAAAGUGUAAAUUCACGGGAAGAAGUGUAUUGUGAAGAUGAAUUCACGGAGUCAAUCCGUGCUUUAUUAUUAGGGAAAGAUAUUAUUAUUAUUAUUA